GGGAGAUUUGGAAUCCGAAAUUACCUUAGGGUUAUGCGUGGAGGGAAAAUUUGCUUUCCUCAGAGCUAAGUGUAGAAAUCUGUAUUCGGGUUUUUGAUGAAGCACCGAUAUAGCAAUUUUCAACAUUGGAGAAAGGGUAUACGUAAAGAAGAAAAUAUUGAAAGCCAGAUUCGGUUUAUGUUUGAAUGAGGUGGAAGACUUUGAAUUUGAAUUUCAAACCCGUGAAGAAGGUUGCAUAAAUUUGGGAUUU
rnacentral:lncRNA from 1 species